AUUCCGGUUGCCUAGUGGUUAUUGCAUCCGCCUCCAAUGCGGGAGGUCGUGGGUUCAAACCCUAGCCGAAUUA